rnacentral:rRNA from 1 species
GACGAACGCUGGCGGCGUGCUUAACACAUGCAAGUCGAGCGGUAAGGCCCUUUCGGGGGUACGACGAGCGGCGAACGGGUGAGUAACACGUGGGUGACCUGCCCUCAGCUCUGGGAGUAAGCCGUCGGGAAACCGGGUACUAAUACUGGAUAUGACUCCAUGACGCAUGUUGGUGGGGUGGAAAGCCUUGUGCGGCUGAGGAUGGGCCCGCGGCCUAUCAGCUU